rnacentral:rRNA from 1 species
GUCCACGCCGUAACGAUGUCGACUAGCCGUUGGUCCUAUUACAGGAUUAGUGGCGCAGCUAACGCAUUAAGUCGACCGCCUGGGGAGUACGGCCGCAAGGUUAAACUCAAAUGAAUUGACGGGGCCCGCACAAGCGGUGGAGCAUGUGGUUUAAUUCGAUGCAACGCGAAGAACCUUACCUACCCUUGACAUCCAGAGAAUCUGUUAGAGAUAGUAGAGUGCCUUCGGGAACUCUGAGACAGGUGCUGCAUGGCUGUCGU